CUUAGCCUUGCUUUUCUUCCUUUCUCCUCCUCUGCAUAUCCUUCAUCUCCAGCAAGUCCUUCUGUUCUCUGAAAAUUUUGAAAAAGUUUUGAAGAGGAGGUUGCUGAAAGAUUCAUGGUGAUCAAAGAAGUAAGCGUUUCAAACAGGUUACCAAAACCUGGGAUACAGCAGAGUUCCUAGCAAGACCGGACGAUGUUGGGAACCGAGUCGGCGAAGAUGCCCAGCAGAGUUUUCUUCAGGUUAUCAGGAGCAUCACCUGAUGAGCUAGGCAUGUUGAUGAGGGAGGCCUUCAGGUCAGAGGCCGAGGAGAAUAGUAGGUCAGAUUUUUCACGGAAGUGUUUGAUGAUAUUGGGAUGAGGAUGGACGUCAAGUUUCAGGCUGGCCAUGUUGAGUAAGGUUGUUUGUUGGCCUUGUGCUUGAAGGCCAUUGUCGGAGAGUUUUACUGAGCGCUCAAAGGAGAUGGGAGAGGGGUUUUUCUCUGCCAGGCUCUGAGAGUUCCCCAUUUCUUCUUGGAUUGAAGAGAAGAGAAUGGAUCAGUGGCCAAACAGCUCAAGGAACAUUACAUUUGAAUCUAUAAUGGUUUUUUUUUGAUAAAAUUUAAUCUAGACUUUCACUGAGCUGAAGUAUCGACAUUUUGAGAAAUUUCAUUUUUACAAGCAAUCGUGUAUCAGUAUUUAUUAAAUCUUCUGUUGUUAUUAAGUCAACCAUUUUAGAAGAUCUGUAUAAGAAUCAUUGAAACAGAGACAG